rnacentral:rRNA from 1 species
AUGCUGUUGCUGGUGGAGUUGGAGCACGCCGGCGCUCCGGCCGCCCUCUUCCUCCCUGUUCGCUCCCAUCCCUCCUACUACAGCCAGGGCUGUAGCCGCCCUCUUCUCUCCUCGUACCCCUCUUCCUCCCUGUUCCUUCCCACCCCUUCUCCCGCAGGCUCCAGCUGUGGUGGUGGGGGUGAGCAGCUGCCGUCCGGUGGCCUGGGGAGUGAGGAGGGCGCCGUUCUAAAGCACGAGAGCUCGGUGCAUGGCGACAGUAUAGAUCGGCUACAGCGGCGGCGACGGCCCAACGACGAAAGGGGAUGGCUGCAUGAUGAUCUUGUUCUGAUCAAUUCUGAAAUAGGAAUGGAGGACUACUAUGGGUCGCUGUUGAGGAUGCUGGGUUACCUGACAGUAGUUUACUUGCCAGAUUUUAAAUUGGAGCUUAGCAUGAACUGA